rnacentral:rRNA from 1 species
UUCCGUAGGUGAACCUGCGGAAGGAUCAUUAUCAAAAGUCAAGUCGGGGGCUGUAAAGCUCUCGUCUACACCCAUGUCUUUUGCGUACUCUUGUUUCCUCGGUGGCGCAAGCUGCCGAUUGGACAAACCAAAACCUUUUUUGUAAUUGCAAUCAGCGUCUGAAAAUAAUCUAAUUAUUUACAACUUUCAACAACGGAUCUCUUGGUUCUGGCAUCGAUGAAGAACGCAGCGAAAUGCGAUAAGUAGUGUGAAUUGCAGAAUUCAGUGAAUCAUCGAAUCUUUGAACGCACAUUGCGCCCCUUGGUAUUCCAUGGGGCAUGCCUGUUCGAGCGUCAUUUGUACCCUCAAGCUUUGCUUGGUGUUGGGCGUCUUGUCGUAUUACGACUCGCCUUAAAUUCAUUGGCAGCCGGCACUUUGGCCUAGGAGCGCAGCACAUUUUGCGAUCGUAGCCCGUUGUACUGGCGUCCAUCAAGAACAUUUACCACGUUUGACCUCGGAUCAGGUAGGGAUACCCGCUGAAC